GAAGGACGAGGGGAAGGAGGAGGAUGAUGAAGAAGAAGAGUUGGUGGCCUCCGGGGACAGCAUGUCCUGGCCGAGGUCAUGGCAGGUGACAGGCACAGAAGACACCAAGAAGAGCAGCAGCAAGCAGCAACAAGGCAGCUGACCUGAAGUAGAAGGACCUGAACAUAGACCUGAAGAGAGACAAUGUUUUACUCAUGUUAGAAUAGUACCUGAUUAUACCUUUAUGUGACUGUCAGACUGUCAUUUCUUACUGGCACUUCAGGUAAAUCUUCAGUCAAAUGAAGUAGGAAUCAGAACCAUGAAACAGAGGUGAAGGGACAAGCAGUGAUCUUUCAUCCCCAGUUUAUUACUAAUGUGAUGAGAUGUUUCGGUUCUAAUCCUUCUGCCUGAAGAAGAUUUAAAUUCAUAUCUAGAUCCAUUAAAGUGCAUGAGCCAUAUUAGUCAAAAUAAUGGCAUUUUCUUCCUUCUUGAUUAUAAUGUUACUAUUCCACUUUGCAUGGACUGUUGUCCAGGAAAAACAAACAAACAAACAAACAACAACAAUUCUAACACUGUAACUCGGGGUUAAAACAUUGUUUUUAAAAUAAAGAUCUGGGUUUCAAUUGCU